AUGAUGUCUAUGAAAUGGACUUCAGUGCUUCUGCUAAUACAGUUGAGUUGUUAUUUUAGCUCUGGGAGUUGUGGGAAGGUGCUGGUGUGGCCAACAGAAUACAGCCAUUGGUUGAAUAUGAAGACAAUCCUGGAUGAACUUGUCCGGAGAGAUCACGAGGUGACUGUAUUGGCAUAGUCUGCUUCCAUUCUUGUUGAUCCCAAUAAAUCAUCCACUAUCAAAUUUGAAGUUUAUUCUACAUCGUUAACUAAAAAUGAUUUUAAGGAUACUAUCAUGAAAAUUGUCGAUGUAUGGACACACAUUCCAAAAAAUACAUUUUUGCCGGAUUUUUCAAAAGUACAGGAAGUGUUGUGGAAAUUUUCUGGCAAAGUCAGAAAGGUCUGUAAAGAUGUUGUUUUGAAUGAAAAACUGAUGAGGAAACUACAAGAAUCCAAGUUUGAUGCCAUUUUUGCUGAUGCCAUUAUUCCCUGUGGUGAGCUGCUGGCUCAGCUACUUAAAAUACCCUUUGUGUACAGUCUCCGCUACUCUCCUGGCCGCAAAUUUGAGAAGUAUGGUGGAGGACUUCUGUUUCCUCCUUCCUACGUACCUGUUGUCCUGUCGGAAUUAAGUGAUCAAAUGACAUUCAUGGAGAGAAUAAAAAAUAUGAUAUAUAUGCUUUAUUUUGACUUUUGGUUCCAAAUAUUUGAUAUGAAAGAAAGGGAUCAGUUUUACAGCGAAGUACUAGGAAGACCCACUACAUUAUUAGAGAUAAUGGGAAAAGCUGAAAUAUGGCUUAUUCGAAGCUAUUGGAAUUUUGAAUAUCCUCGCCCACUCUUACCAAAUUUUUUUUUUGUUGGGGGACUCCACUGUAAACCUGCCAAACCCCUGCCUAAGGAAAUGGAAGAAUUUGUCCAGAGCUCUGGAGAAAAUGGUAUUGUGGUGUUUUCUCUGGGGUCAAUGAUCAGUGAUAUGACAGAAGAAAGGGCCAAUGUGAUUGCUUCAGCCCUUGCCCAGAUCCCACAAAAGGUUCUAUGGAGAUUUGAUGGCAAGAAACCAGAUACUUUAGGACCCAAUACUCGACUGUACAAGUGGAUGCCCCAGAAUGACCUUCUUGGUCAUCCAAAAGCCAAAGCUUUCAUAACUCAUGGUGGAUCCAAUGGCAUCUAUGAGGCCAUCUAUCAUGGGAUCCCUAUGGUGGGCAUUCCUCUAUUUGCGGAUCAACCUGAUAAUAUUGCUCACAUGAAGGUCAAGGGAGCAGCCAUUAGCUUGGACUUCCACACAAUGUCAAGUACAGAUUUGCUUAAUGCAUUGAAGACAGUAAUUCAUAAUCCUUUAUAUAAAGAGAAUGCUAUGAGAUUGUCAAAAAUUCAACAUGAUCAGCCAGUGAAGCCCCUGGAUCAAGCAGUGUUCUGGAUCGAGUUUGUCUUGCGCCAUAAAGGAGCCAAACACCUUCGGGUUGCAGCCCAUGACCUCAUGUGGUUCCAGUACCACUCUUUGGAUGUGAUUGGGUUCCUGCUGGCCUGUGUGGCUACUGUGAUCUUCAUCAUCAUAAGGUGUUGCUUGUUUGUUUUCCUGAUGUUUGCUAAAACAGGGAAGAAGGGUAAAAAGGAUUAGUUAUAUCAAAGGCCUGAAGCUGGGAUGCCUGUUAGAUAGAA